AGCGAACGCUGGCGGCAGGCCUAAUACAUGCAAGUCGAACGGCUCUUCGGAGCAGUGGCGGACGGGUGAGUAACGCGUGGGAACGUGCCCUUUGGUUCGGAACAACACAGGGAAACUUGUGCUAAUACCGAAUGUGCCCUUCGGGGGAAAGAUUUAUCGCCAUUGGAGCGGCCCGCGUUGGAUUAGGUAGUUGGUGGGGUAAAGGCCUACCAAGCCUACGAUCCAUAGCUGGUCUGAGAGGAUGAUCAGCCACACUGGGACUGAGACACGGCCCAGACUCCUACGGGAGGCAGCAGUAGGGAAUCGUGCGCAAUGGGCGAAAGCCUGACGCAGCCAUGCCGCGUGAAUGAUGAAGGUCUUAGGAUUGUAAAAUUCUUUCACCGGGGAAGAUAAUGACGGUACCCGGAGAAGAAGCCCCGGCUAACUUCGUGCCAGCCGCCGCCGUAACAC
rnacentral:rRNA from 1 species